GAUGAACGCUAGCGGCAGGCUUAAUACAUGCAAGUCGUGGGGCAGCAUGAGUAGCAACACUUGAUGGCGACCGGCAAACGGGUGCGGAACACGUACACAACCUUCCGAUAAGUGGGGAAUAGCCCAGAGAAAUUUGGAUUAAUACCCCGUAACAUAUAGAGUAGGCAUCUUCUUUAUAUUAUAGCUUCGGCGCUUAUUGAUGGGUGUGCGUCUGAUUAGGUAGUUGGCGGGGUAACGGCCCACCAAGCCUACGAUCAGUAGCUGAUGUGAGAGCAUGAUCAGCCACACGGGCACUGAGACACGGGCCCGACUCCUACGGGAGGCAGCAGUAAGGAAUAUUGGACAAUGGGCGAAAGCCUGAUCCAGCCAUGCCGCGUGAAGGAUUAAGGUCCUCUGGAUUGUAAACUUCUUUUAUUUGGGACGAAAAAAGGGAAUUCUUUCCCACUUGACGGUACCAAGUGAAUAAGCACCGGCUAACUCCGUGCCAGCAGCCGCCGUAA
rnacentral:rRNA from 1 species